AGGGUUUGAUCAUGGCUCAGAACGUACGCUGGCGGCACGCCUAACACAUGCAAGUCGAACGAAGUAGCAAUACUUAGUGGCAGACGGGUGAGUAACAUGUGGGUAUCUGCCCUUUGGCCUGGAAUAACACGAGGAAACUUGUGCUAAUACCGGAUAAGUCUUUACGGAGAAAGCUUUAUGCACCAUUGGAUGAGCCCGCACUUGAUUAGUUUGUUGGUGGGGUAAUGGCCUACCAAGACUGUGAUCAAUAGCUGAUUUGAGAGGAUGAUCAGCCACAUUGGGACUGAGACACGGCCCAAACUCCUACGGGAGGCAGCAGUGGGGAAUCUUGCACAAUGGAGGAAACUCUGAUGCAGCGAUGCCGCGUGAGUGAAGAAGGCCCUUGGGUUGUAAAGCUCUUUCGUCGGGGAAGAAAAUGACUGUACCCGAAUAAGAAGGUCCGGCUAACUUCGUGCCAGCAGCCGCGGUAAUACGAAGGGACCUAGCGUAGUUCGGAAUUACUGGGCUUAAAGAGUUCGUAGGUGGUUGAAAAAGUUAGUGGUGAAAUCCCAGAGCUUAACUCUGGAACUGCCAUUAAAACUUUUCAGCUAGAGUAUGAUAGAGGAAAGCAGAAUUUCUAGUGUAGAGGUGAAAUUCGUAGAUAUUAGAAAGAAUACCAAUUGCGAAGGCAGCUUUCUGGAUCAUUACUGACACUGAGGAACGAAAGCAUGGGUAGCGAAGAGGAUUAGAUACCCUCGUAGUCCAUGCCGUAAACGAUGUGUGUUAGACGUUGGAAAUUUAUUUUCAGUGUCGCAGGGAAACCGAUAAACACACCGCCUGGGGAGUACGACCGCAAGGUUAAAACUCAAAUGAAUUGACGGGGACCCGCACAAGUAGUGGAGCAUGUGGUUUAAUUCGAAGAUACGCGCAGAACCUUACCAACACUUGACAUGUUCGUCGCGACUCUAAGAGAUUAGAGUUUUCGGUUCGGCCGGACGAAACACAGGUGCUGCAUGGCUGUCGUCAGCUCGUGUCGUGAGAUGUUGGGUUAAGUCCCGCAACGAGCGCAACCCUCACUUUUAGUUGCCAUCAUUAAGUUGGGCACUCUGAAAGAACUGCCAGUGAUAAGCUGGAGGAAGGUGGGGAUGACGUCAAGUCCUCAUGGCCCUUACGUGUUGGGCUACACACGUGCUACAAUGGUAUCUACAACAGGAAGCAAGACUGCGAAGUUAAGCAAAUCCCUAAAAGAUACCUCAGUUCGGAUUGCACUCUGCAACUCGAGUGCAUGAAGCUGGAAUUACUAGUAAUCGUGGAUCAGCGUGCCACGGUGAAUGCGUUCCCGGGUCUUGUACACACCGCCCGUCACACCAUGGGAGUUGGUUCUACCUUAAGGCAAGGUUUCAAACCCUUGACCACGGUAUAGUCAGCGACUGGGGUGAAGUCAUAACAAGGUAGCCGUA
rnacentral:rRNA from 1 species